CCCUUAGAUGUUCUGGGCCGCACGCGUGCUACACUGAGUGGAUCAGCGGGUCAGGUUGCGCGAAAGUGUUUCCUAAUCUUUAAAUCCGCUCGUGAUGGGGAUUGACGGUUGCAAUUUUCCGUCAUGAACGAGGAAUACCUUGUAAGCGCGGGUCAUCAUCCCGCGCUGAAUACGUCCCUGCCCUUUGUACACACCGCCCGUCGCUCCUACCGAUUGAGUGGUCCGGUGAGGCUUUGGGAUCUGAGCGGAAAGAGCGUUUCGCUGUUUCUGCCCGGAAAACUCAGUCGAACCUUAUCCUUUAGAGGAAGGAGAAGUCGUAACA
rnacentral:rRNA from 1 species